UACGUAGGGGGCGAGCGUUGUCCGGAUUUACUGGGCGUAAAGCGCGCGUAGGCGGCCGGAUAAGUCGGGUGUGAAAGCCCGGGGCUCACCCCCGGGAUGCCGCCCGAGACUGCUCGGCUUGAGGACGGAAGAGGGGAGUGGAAUUCCUGGUGUAGCGGUGAAAGGCGUAGAGAUCAGGAGGAACACCCGUGGCGAAGGCGGCUCCCUGGUCCGUCACUGACGCUGAGACGCGAAAGCGCGGGGAGCGAACGGG
rnacentral:rRNA from 1 species